rnacentral:lncRNA from 1 species
UUUCCACCAAACUGUUCCAGGCCUGGAGUGGCACGCUGGAACUUCCAGAGGCUUGUAGACCUGAAGCAGUGUGAUGUGGUCCAAAAAAUGAUCACACACAUGUAAACACACUCACUCAAUCGCUCACUCUGUUUUGUUGCAUCAUUCAUUGUAAAAUUGUGCCUCUCUCUUUUAGAUCUGACAACCCAAUUACAACCUCACAGCUGCAGUCAUCUGCCCCUCCAUCUGCUGCAGCGACAGGUGAUACAGAUCUGCCACCCCCAGCAUUUCAGCUGCAGGCACAGCAGUCCUCUGCUGUGGUAUUUAAUUUACCGGCUGCACCAGUUCCUACUACACUGGCGUGAACGGAGAAACUUUUGAGGAUUCCCAGAUGGAUACAGAUCUGCCAUGCACUCCACCAUUGCCCAACAGCCUCACCCAGAAGUGCAUACACUGGGCCUAUCAAGACUGAUAAAGCAGAGAUGGUUGGCUGACAAGGAAAAAUUAAACACAACAUGCACACGCUCUCUCUCUGUCGCACACACACACAUUAUCCCCCAAUGUAAAGAAAUUGUAAUUACUUGUUUAUUUUAUGUAUGCUCGAGUUUAUUUUAGGAUAUCUAUGCCUAUCUAUCCAUUGUCAAUAUUUACAUAGUUACUCUAAAUAUCUAUCAAAUCAAAAUGUGAU